UAUGUUUGCCGAGUGUCACUCCCUAGGCACUCGGCAGAGGAUGGAGGCGAGGGUGGAGCGGAUGGUUCAGCUGAGGAUGGAGGCCGAGCGGCAGAGGAUGGACAAAGAAAAUCGGUUGAGGAUGGAAUAAAUGUUUCGAUACAUGCAAAAUAUUGCUACUGCUACGAGUAUGGGUACACCACUACCACAGCCACCGAUGAUAUUCCCUCCAGCUCAGCCACCCACACAUACUCCUGUGAGUCACUUGAACUUUAGUUUCAAUACUUGACUUAGUUAGCUCAAACAUGACUUAGUUAGCUCAAAUGACUUAGUUAGCUCAAAGAUGACUUAGUUAGCUCAAAUGAUAUCAAUCUUGUCUCACACGUCUUCUUUUAUGUGCAGAAUCAAUCGGUGGCUUCGAAUACCCAAGCUCAAGACCCAGAUUUGUCGCAGUGGUUCACAAGGACGCCACCUCA
rnacentral:lncRNA from 1 species